UCAGUUGAAGCUGCCAGCAUGAUCUUAGCUUCUCUUCCUCGUUGAGAAAAGAUCAGAUCAUGUGGCAGUUUCACCCGUUG
rnacentral:sRNA from 1 species